UACGUAGGGUCCGAGCGUUAAUCGGAAUUACUGGGCGUAAAGCGUGCGCAGGCGGUUCGCAAAGACAGGUGUGAAAUCCCCCGGGCUUAACCUGGGAACUGCGCUUGUAACUAGCGGGCUAGAGUGCGGCAGAGGGGGGUGGAAUUCCACGUGUAGCAGUGAAAUGCGUAGAUAUGUGGAGGAAUACCGAUGGCGAAGGCAGCCCCCUGGGAUCAACACUAGACGU
rnacentral:rRNA from 1 species